rnacentral:rRNA from 1 species
UACGAGGGGGCAAGCGUUGUUCGGAAUUAUUGGGCGUAAAGGGCGCGUAGGCGGUGCGGUAAGUCACCUGUGAACCUCUAGGCUCAACCUAGAGCCUGCAGGCGAACUGCCGUGCUUGAGGGUGGAGAGGUGCGUGGAAUUCCGGUGUAGCGGUGAAAUGCGUAGAUAUCGGAGGAACACCUGUGGCGAAAGCGGCGCACUGGACCACAUCUGACGCUGAGGCGCGAAAGCUAGGGGAGCAAACAGG